GUGGCCGUACGAGGAUAGAACGCGUGGGCGGCGUGCUUAACACAUGCAAGUCGAACGGAGUAUUAAGAAUGAAGUUUCGGAUGGAUUUUUAGUACUUAGUGGCGGACGGGUGAGUAACGCGUGGGUAACCUGCCUCACACAGGGGGAUAACAGUUGGAAACGACUGUUAAUACCGCAUAAGACCACAGUACCGCAUGGUACAGGGGUAAAAAACUCCGGUGGUGUGAGAUGGACCCGCGUCUGAUUAGUUAGUUGGCGGGGUAACGGCCCACCAAGACGACGAUCAGUAGCCGAUCUGAGAGGAUGACCGGCCACAUUGGGACUGAGACACGGCCCAAACUCCUACGGGAGGCAGCAGUGGGGAAUAUUGCACAAUGGGGGAAACCCUGAUGCAGCGACGCCGCGUGAGUGAAGAAGUAUUUCGGUAUGUAAAGCUCUAUCAGCAGGGAAGAAGAUGACGGUACCUGAGUAAGAAGCCCCGGCUAACUACGUGCCAGCAGCGGC
rnacentral:rRNA from 1 species